GAACUUAAGCAUAUCAAUAAGCGGAGGAAAAGAAACCAACAGGGAUUGCCCUAGUAACGGCGAGUGAAGCGGCAACAGCUCAAAUUUGAAAUCUGGCUCCUUUGGAGUCCGAGUUGUAAUUUGUAGAGGGUGCUUUGGCGUUGGUUGUGGUCUAAGUUCCUUGGAACAGGACGUCACAGAGGGUGAGAAUCCCGUACGUGGCCGCCAGCCUUCGCCGUGUAAAGCCCCUUCGAUGAGUCGAGUUGUUUGGGAAUGCAGCUCUAAAUGGGAGGUAAAUUUCUUCUAAAGCUAAAUAUUUGCCAGAGACCGAUAGCGCACAAGUAGAGUGAUCGAAAGAUGAAAAGCACUUUGGAAAGAGAGUCAAAAAGCACGUGAAAUUGUUGAAAGGGAAGCGCUUGCAGCUAGACGUGCCUUUGGUUGAUCAGCCGGGCUUUUGCCCGGUGCACUCUUCCUUUGGCAGGCCAGCAUCAGUUUGGGCGGCUGGAUAAAGGUCUGUUAAACGUGACUCCCUUCGGGGAGAGCUUAUAGGGCAGACGACAUGCAGCCAGCCUGAACUGAGGUCCGCGCAUCUGCUAGGAUGCUGGCGUAAUAGCUGUAAGCGGCCCGUCUUGAAACACGGACCAAGGAGUCUAACAUCUAUGCGAGUGUUUGGGUGUCAAGCCCGAGCGCGUAAUGAAAGUAAACGGAGGUGGGAACCCUUUGGGUGCACCAUCGACCGAUCUUGAUGUCUUCGGAUGGAUUUGAGUAAGAGCAUAGCUGUUGGGACCCGAAAGAUGGUGAACUAUGCCUGAAUAGGGUGAAGCCAGAGGAAACUCUGGUGGAGGCUCGCAGCGGUUCUGACGUGCAAAUCGAUCGUCAAAUUUGGGCAUAGGGGCGAAAGACUAAUCGAACUAUCUAGUAGCUGGUUCCUGCCGAAGUUUCCCUCAGGAUAGCAGUAACGUUUUCAGUUUUAUGAGGUAAAGCGAAUGAUUAGAGGCCUGGGGGUUGAAACAACCUUCACCUAUUCUCAAACUUUAAAUAUGUAAGAAGUCCUUGUUACUUAGUUGAACGUGGACA
rnacentral:rRNA from 1 species